rnacentral:rRNA from 1 species
AUACGUAGGGAGCGAGCGUUGUCCGGAAUUACUGGGCGUAAAGGGCGCGUAGGCGGCGCUUCAAGUCGUCUGUCAAAUGGGAGGGCUUAACCCUUUUUCGCAGACGAAACUGGAGAGCUUGGGAAGCAGAGAGGCAAACAGAAUUCCUGGUGUAGCGGUGAAAUGCGUAGAUAUCAGGAAGAAUACCAGUGGCGAAGGCGGUUUGCUGGCUGCAUACUGACGCUGAAGCGCGAAAGCCAGGGGAGCAAACGGGAUUAGAUACCCCGGUAGUCCUGGCAGUAAACGAUGUAUGCUGGGUGUGAGACUAGCGAUAGUUUCGUGCCGAAGUUAACGCGAUAAGCAUACCGCCUGGGGAGUACGGUCGCAAGAUUGAAACUCAAAUGAAUUGGCGGGG